rnacentral:lncRNA from 1 species
AAAUCUGACGCAGGAGAAAGGUUGACUGAGUGGUUGUGCCAAGUGGUUGAGGGACAGAAUGGGACUGCUUUGACAAUCCCUUUUGGAGGGAGAAGGACAUUUCUGGAAAAUACUACUUGUAACCAGGGAUAACUGCAGGAAGCUUUUCUAAGCUGGAGGACAGAAGAGGAGGACCCAGCACCUUGCCUAGGUGGACAAGUAAUGGCCAUGUACUGUCUGAAAGACAGAGCAGCCCACCAAAAUGCAAUGAGUGGGAAAGUGCUCCCUGGUCCCUCUAUACCAGAAGACAACAUCAGAUCUCACCGCUUAGGAUUGCUGAGAGGCAAACUCUAGAGUGGGACACUGAAGAUCUAGCCAAACUGCUUUGGAAAUAACACGGACUUUUUCCAGUUCAAGAGUUGAUGGCUCCUGUGGGUAACAUAUAAGCUGAACCUUCACUCCAAACAUGAGGACAAAAGGCUCUGGGACGUAUUUCAUUAAACAUCAUCCCCUGAAAACCCUGCAUAACUUCACAAGUCAAAUUCUAAGUUGAAUAAAGCAUUUCCAGCA